GGGAUUUAGUGUCAGAGCGGAAGGUGACGAGGAUGAAGGUCGCAAACGGAAUUUUGUCUCUCUUUCUUGUGUUGUCAUCGGUGAUCCUGAUGGUCAGUUCCUUGCCUGUCACCAUGGAAGGCGUAACAGACAGAGCAGCGUGUCCCUGUGCUGUGCCCCCGUGUCCAUGCGCCCCAGGAGGGUACCAAUAGAGAAAAAACAACAACAAGGCAUACAAGAAGUUUCAUAAAACCAACAAACAAACAAACACUCACGGGCAAGAGGUCUCACAUACUCACUAGAAAGAUUUAGGGGAAGAACGACGAGACAUGCAAAGGAGUCGUCACCAAGAGUCAUAAGGACGAUUUAAUAAUUUGGUUCUCGGUGGUACGUUUAAGAUAUUGCCAAUAUGUACUGGACUUGAUCAGUAAAUACCCUUCAUA